rnacentral:rRNA from 1 species
UACGUAGGGGGCAAGCGUUGUCCGGAUUUAUUGGGCGUAAAGAGCGUGUAGGCGGCUGGGUAGGUCCGUUGUGAAAACUCGAGCUCAACCUCGAGACGCCGAUGGAAACCCUCCAGCUAGAGUCCGGAAGAGGAGAGUGGAAUUCCUGGUGUAGCGGUGAAAUGCGCAGAUAUCAGGAAGAACACCCGUGGCUAAGGCGGCUCUCUAGUACGGUACUGACGCUGAGACGCGAAAGCGUGGGGAGCAAACAGG